AUUGAACGCUGGCGGCAGGCCUAACACAUGCAAGUCGAACGGAGUGGCGGACGGGUGAGUAAUGUCUGGGAAACUGCCCGAUGGAGGGGGAUAACGUCCGGAAACGGGCGCUAAUACCGCAUACUAUCAGAUGAGCCUAGGUCGGAUUAGCUAGUUGGUGGGGUAAAGGCCUACAAAGGCGACGAUCCGUAACUGGUCUGAGAGGAUGAUCAGGCAAACUGGAAUUUAGAAACGGUCCAGAGUACGACGGGAGGCAGCAGUGGGGAAUAUUGGAAAAGGGGCGAAAGCCUGAGCCAGCCAUGCCGCGGGUGUGAAGAAGGUCUUCGGAUUGUAAAGCACUUUAAGUUGGGAGGCGUUACCAACAGAAUAAGCACCGGCUAACUUCGUGCCAGCAGCCGCGGUAAUUC
rnacentral:rRNA from 1 species